UACGUAGGGUGCGAGCGUUGUCCGGAAUUACUGGGCGUAAAGGGCGCGUAGGCGGCCUGUUAAGUCGAACGUGAAAUCCCCGGGCUCAACCCGGGAACUGCGUCCGAUACUGGUAGGCUUGAAUCCGGGAGAGGGAUGCGGAAUUCCAGGUGUAGCGGUGAAAUGCGUAGAUAUCUGGAGGAACACCGGUGGCGAAGGCGGCAUCCUGGACCGGCAUUGACGCUGAGGCGCGAAAGCCAGGGGAGCAAACGGG
rnacentral:rRNA from 1 species